UACAGAGGGUGCAAGCGUUAAUCGGAAUUACUGGGCGUAAAGCGCGCGUAGGCGGUUGUGUAAGUUGGAUGUGAAAGCCCCGGGCUCAACCUGGGAAUGGCAUUCAAAACUGCACGGCUAGAGUAUUGGAGAGGAAGGUAGAAUUCCAGGUGUAGCGGUGAAAUGCGUAGAGAUCUGGAGGAAUACCGAUGGCGAAGGCAGCCUUCUGGCCAAAUACUGACGCUGAGGUGCGAAAGCAUGGGGAGCAAACAGG
rnacentral:rRNA from 1 species